rnacentral:rRNA from 1 species
UACGUAGGGGGCAAGCGUUGUCCGGAUUUAUUGGGCGUAAAGAGCGUGUAGGCGGUUUGGUAGGUCCGUUGUGAAAACUCGAGGCUCAACCUCGAGACGCCGAUGGAAACCAUCAGACUAGAGUCCGGAAGAGGAGAGUGGAAUUCCGUGGUGUAGCGGUGAAAUGCGCAGAUAUCAGGAAGAACACCCGUGGCUAAGGCGGCUCUCUAGUACGGUACUGACGCUGAGACGCGAAAGCGUGGGGGAGCGAACAGG